AACGCUGGCGGCACGCUUAACACAUGCAAGUCGAACGAGAGAAGAGAAGCUUGCUUUUCUGAUCUAGUGGCGGACGGGUGAGUAACACGUGAGCAAUCUGCCUUUCAGAGGGGGAUACCGAUUGGAAACGAUCGUUAAUACCGCAUAACAUAAUUGAACCGCAUGAUUUGAUUAUCAAAGAUUUAUCGCUGAAAGAUGAGCUCGCGUCUGAUUAGCUAGUUGGUAAGGUAACGGCUUACCAAGGCGACGAUCAGUAGCCGGACUGAGAGGUUGAUCGGCCACAUUGGGACUGAGACACGGCCCAGACUCCUACGGGAGGCAGCAGUGGGGAAUAUUGCACAAUGGAGGAAACUCUGAUGCAGCGAUGCCGCGUGAGGGAAGAAGGUUUUAGGAUUGUAAACCUCUGUCUUCAGGGACGAAAAAAGACGGUACCUGAGGAGGAAGCUCCGGCUAACUACGUGCCAGCAGCCGCGGUAAUACGUAGGGAGCGAGCGUUGUCCGGAAUUACUGGGUGUAAAGGGAGCGUAGGCGGGAUCGCAAGUCAGAUGUGAAAACUAUGGGCUUAACCCAUAAACUGCAUUUGAAACUGUGGUUCUUGAGUGAAGUAGAGGUAAGCGGAAUUCCUAGUGUAGCGGUGAAAUGCGUAGAUAUUAGGAGGAACAUCAGUGGCGAAGGCGGCUUACUGGGCUUUAACUGACGCUGAGGCUCGAAAGCGUGGGGAGCAAACAGGAUUAGAUACCCUGGUAGUCCACGCCGUAAACGAUGAUUACUAGGUGUGGGGGGACUGACCCCUUCCGUGCCGCAGCAAACGCAAUAAGUAAUCCACCUGGGGAGUACGACCGCAAGGUUGAAACUCAAAGGAAUUGACGGGGGCCCGCACAAGCAGUGGAGUAUGUGGAUUAAUUCGAAGCAACGCGAAGAACCUUACCAGGUCUUGACAUCGUAUGCAUAGCUCAGAGAUGAGUGAAAUCUCUUCGGAGACAUAUAGACAGGUGGUGCAUGGUUGUCGUCAGCUCGUGUCGUGAGAUGUUGGGUUAAGUCCCGCAACGAGCGCAACCCUUACUGUUAGUUGCUACGCAAGAGCACUCUAGCAGGACUGCCGUUGACAAAACGGAGGAAGGUGGGGAUGACGUCAAAUCAUCAUGCCCCUUAUGACCUGGGCCUCACACGUACUACAAUGGCUGUCAACAGAGGGAUGCAAAGCCGCGAGGUGGAGCGAACCCCUAAAAGCAGUCUUAGUUCGGAUUGUAGGCUGCAACCCGCCUACAUGAAGUCGGAAUUGCUAGUAAUCGCAGAUCAGCAUGCUGCGGUGAAUACGUUCCCGGGCCUUGUACACACCGCCCGUCACGCCAUGGGAGUCGGUAACACCCGAAGCCUGUAGUCUAACCGCAAGGAGGACGCAGUCGAAGGUGGGAUUGA
rnacentral:rRNA from 1 species